AUUGAACGCUGGCGGAAUGCUUUACACAUGCAAGCCGAACGGCAGCAUAGGUGCUUGCACCUGAUGGCGAGUGGCGAACGGGUGAGUAAUACAUCGGAACGUGCCCAGUCGUGGGGGAUAACGUAGCGAAAGUUACGCUAAUACCGCAUACGAUCUAAGGAUGAAAGCGGGGGACCGUAAGGCCUCGCGCGAUUGGAGCGGCCGAUGUCAGAUUAGGUAGUUGGUGAGGUAAAGGCUCACCAAGCCGACGAUCUGUAGCUGGUCUGAGAGGACGACCAGCCACACUGGGACUGAGACACGGCACAGACUCCUACGGGAGGCAGCAGUGGGGAAUUUUGGACAAUGGACGCAAGUCUGAUCCAGCCAUUCCGCGUGCAGGACGAAGGCCUUCGGGUUGUAAACUGCUUUUGUACGGAACGAAAAAGCUCUUACUAAUACUAGGAGUCCAUGACGGUACCGUAAGAAUAAGCACCGGCUAACUACGUGCCAGCAGCCGCGGUAA
rnacentral:rRNA from 1 species